rnacentral:tRNA from 1 species
GAGAGACUAGUAAAAUAUGCAUAUUACAAUACCUUGUCAAGGCAUAAUUGCGGGUUAAACCCCCGCGUCUCUCA